rnacentral:rRNA from 1 species
GGGGCUGCGGCCUGCUAUACAUGCAAGUCGAGCGGACAGAUGGGAGCUUGCUCCCUGAUGUUAGCGGCGGACGGGUGAGUAACACGUGGGUAACCUGCCUGUAAGACUGGGAUAACUCCGGGAAACCGGGGCUAAUACCGGAUGGUUGUUUGAACCGCAUGGUUCAAACAUAAAAGGUGGCUUCGGCUACCACUUACAGAUGGACCCGCGGCGCAUUAGCUAGUUGGUGAGGUAACGGCUCACCAAGGCAACGAUGCGUAGCCGACCUGAGAGGGUGAUCGGCCACACUGGGACUGAGACACGGCCCAGACUCCUACGGGAGGCAGCAGUAGGGAAUCUUCCGCAAUGGACGAAAGUCUGACGGAGCAACGCCGCGUGAGUGAUGAAGGUUUUCGGAUCGUAAAGCUCUGUUGUUAGGGAAGAACAAGUACCGUUCGAAUAGGGCGGUACCUUGACGGUACCUAACCAGAAAGCCACGGCUAACUACGUGCCAGCAGCCGCGGUAAUACGUAGGUGGCAAGCGUUGUCCGGAAUUAUUGGGCGUAAAGGGCUCGCAGGCGGUUUCUUAAGUCUGAUGUGAAAGCCCCCGGCUCAACCGGGGAGGGUCAUUGGAAACUGGGGAACUUGAGUGCAGAAGAGGAGAGUGGAAUUCCACGUGUAGCGGUGAAAUGCGUAGAGAUGUGGAGGAACACCAGUGGCGAAGGCGACUCUCUGGUCUGUAACUGACGCUGAGGAGCGAAAGCGUGGGGAGCGAACAGGAUUAGAUACCCUGGUAGUCCACGCCGUAAACGAUGAGUGCUAAGUGUUAGGGGGUUUCCGCCCCUUAGUGCUGCAGCUAACGCAUUAAGCACUCCGCCUGGGGAGUACGGUCGCAAGACUGAGACUCAAAGGAAUUGACGGGGGCGCGCACAAGCG